rnacentral:rRNA from 1 species
AAAGACCCCGUGAACCUUUACUAUAGCUUGACACUGAACAUUGAGCCUUGAUGUGUAGGAUAGGUGGGAGGCUUUGAAGCGUGGACGCCAGUCUGCGUGGAGCCGACCUUGAAAUACCACCCUUUAAUGUUUGAUGUUCUAACGUGGACCCGUAAUCCGGGUUGCGGACAGUGUCUGGUGGGUAGUUUGACUGGGGCGGUCUCCUCCUAAAGAGUAACGGAGGAGCACGAAGGUUGGCUAAUCCUGGUCGGACAUCAGGAGGUUAGUGCAAUGGCAUAAGCCAGCUUGACUGCGAGCGUGACGGCGCGAGCAGGUGCGAAAGCAGGUCAUAGUGAUCCGGUGGUUCUGAAUGGAAGGGCCAUCGCUCAACGGAUAAAAGGUACUCCGGGGAUAACAGGCUGAUACCGCCCAAGAGUUCAUAUCGACGGCGGUGUUUGGCACCUCGAUGUCGGCUCAUCACAUCCUGGGGCUGAAGUAGGUCCCAAGGGUAUGGCUGUUCGCCAUUUAAAGUGGUACGCGAGCUGGGUUUAGAACGUCGUGAGACAGUUCGGUCCCUAUCUGCCGUGGGCGCUGGAGAACUGAGGGGGGCUGCUCCUAGUACGAGAGGACCGGAGUGGACGCAUCACUGGUGUUCGGGUUGUCAUGCCAAUGGCACUGCCCGGUAGCUAAAUGCGGAAGAGAUAAGUGCUGAAAGCAUCUAAGCACGAAACUUGCCCCGA